rnacentral:rRNA from 1 species
AGUGAACGCUGGCGGUAGGCCUAACACAUGCAAGUCGAACGGCAGCACAGUAAGAGCUUGCUCUUACGGGUGGCGAGUGGCGGACGGGUGAGGAAUACAUCGGAAUCUACUUUUUCGUGGGGGAUAACGUAGGGAAACUUACGCUAAUACCGCAUACGACCUACGGGUGAAAGUAGGGGAUCUUCGGACCUUGCGCGAUUGAAGGAGCCGAUGUCGGAUUAGCUAGUUGGCGGGGGAAAGGCCCACCAAGGCGACGAUCCGUAGCUGGUCUGAGAGGAUGAUCAGCCACACUGGAACUGAGACACGGUCCAGACUCCUACGGGAGGCAGCAGUGGGGAAUAUUGGACAAUGGGCGCAAGCCUGAUCCAGCCAUACCGCGUGGGUGAAGAAGGCCUUCGGGUUGUAAAGCCCUUUUGUUGGGAAAGAAAAGCAGCAGGUUAAUACCCCGCUGUUCUGACGGUACCCAAAGAAUAAGCACCGGCUAACUUCGUG